UUAUAUAAUUAUGCUGUACUGGGUUGUCAAAUACUAACAAUUAAGUGGGUUGUACAUUUCUCGGUAUUAUUGAACACCUUGCUAACCUACAGUAUGCCUUGAUUCCUUGAUAAGAGGUAUAGGGCCUGCACUGGUCUCUGUUUUGCAUCGUUAUUAUAGUAACUUGUUAGUGUAUAACAAUUAAAACAUGAGUGUAUAUACGGAAACCCAUGUGGUGGUAGCUAUAAUAAUUAUUAAUUAUAUAAAGAGGAUGAACGUUCUGAUGAUCAAAGAGUUAUUCAAGUGUAUCUAGCCUGUAUACAUGCAUGUAAUUAUUAUAGUAGCAAUCAAACUUUUUUUGGCGCUCGCUCUCAGCACCCUCCUUACUAGCUGCAUUUCCUAGAAACACCACUGUGCUCAGAGAGGUAUAAUUAUGGUAUAGUCUGUGUUUGUAUAAUUAUAUAGACUGCUACAGCUGCUCAAGGAUCAAUGAAGUGCAAACAAGAGUUUCUAUAAUAAUUUAUAUUAGCCUCGAUCCCAGGCCAAUCCUUCUCCAAUUGAACACUAGGUCGCCUCCUCGGCCUGGUAUUGAUUGUAUCUGGGCGUGUAUCUGGGCAUGCAUGUGCUGUGGUUGCUGUGGUUGCUCAGGUAUUCGCUCAAAAAGAGCGAAUACCUGAGCAAGGUGGAGCGAAUAGAAACACUAAUAGUGUAUGUAAGCAUACUUACUCCGUAAAUCACCGUUAAAUCACAAAGAACUCCGUGUCAUAGGUAUAUUCUUUAGCAAGUUUAGUUUGUCAUAGAUAUAGGCUUAGCUAGAGUGUGAGGAGCUGUCUUGUGCGAAGGAAGAAGGAUCAUCACUCUUGUGAAAGAACAGACCUAUGUUCUCAAUUUUCUGCUAUCAGUUGGCUACCUUUGAUUGACUCGACUACACAAUUUAAUACAAGCGCUUGAUUAGACCAUUGAUUGCCAGAUACACUUGGUAGAGUCUAUCCUCAGACUCCGGCCAUCGAUCUCUUGUAUACUAUGCUCAGGGGUGUCUACAAGUGGCUGGGCCUGGGAUGUAUUGUCAAAGUGAGCGAUAUAAAUCAAUAAUACCAUUUCAUCAUUGGAAAUUGUACACUAUAGCCUAUAGCCCAAUCCUUGGUAUCUGGAUCAAGAUAUGACAUUACGGUACUGGCACUGGUGUUGUGUUAGCCUCCUUCACCGGCCUUCAAGGAAGUGCGGCCUGGGAUCGAGGCUAGUUUUGUGUGGACCAUCACUUAUACAGGAGCAAAAUGGAACCUUCCCCUCCAACCCCCGUUGUACUCUUCCUAGCUGAUGGGUGCGAACUCAUUGAAAGAGGAUGCCCCAGUGCCACUCGUGUCCUUCCCAAGGGGGCCGAUCUUAUAGAACUACCUGCACUAAAACUACUGACGUGGAAUGGCUCUUUCAACACUUGUGGUUGCUAUCCUGACCAGUGACGUCAGGAUUCUACUGUCUCUUGAUGCACUGUGAACACACAAUCUUUGUUAUGCCACCUGAAGGCUUAGCAGGCAUAUCCAACGCAGUAUUUAUUAAGUCUUUCUGGAAGCUCUUGUUUGAGAUCUUCGCUUCUAAACAUCUGCAUUUAUUAUGAACGCAGUACUGCUGUGCAGUACACUCUACAGAUAACAGUAUUAAUUUCUAGUGUCAUUAUAUCACUGUAUUUUUAGCCAACUGUGAUGAACUAAAGAUGUUACAGUACAUAGCAUUCCUCUUGAUACUUACCAGUUUCCGGUCACGCCCAGAUACAAUCAAUACCAGGCCGAGGAGGCGACCUAGCGUUCAAUUGGAGACGGAUGGGCCUGGGAUCGAGGCUAAUAAUAUAUAGGCUUCUAUAGUAGCGUUUUUUUUAUUGCAAUUUUGCGGAUUUGCAGUUAUAGAUAGGUUUAUUUACUUGGAAUGCCAUCGCAGCUUUUCAGAAGAGAGAGUAGCAAAACUCGUCCAUGGAGUGUUGCUCUCUACUUAGUAGAUAAUUUUAUAGCUCUGCACUAUAAUUAUAAUGCUAGCUGGCUUUAUUGCAUGUAACUAUACUACCUAGCUUUUUGUAUUUAUUGUACCUGUUGUUUUGAUGUAUCAAAUGGGUUCGCGUAUAUUAAGGUAGUUAGUUGACUGUUCAUAGCAGCUAGCUAUAGCUCUACGCAGGCCGGUCUAUUAUGGGACUUAUACACUGUAAAAACUAAUGGGUUAAAGGGACUCGCGGUUGCGGGUCAUUUGAAUGUCUCACCAAAUGACCCACACCACUCAUGGGUUGUUUUGCCAAUGUGUUAAAUUAACCAAUGGGUUACCAUAUUGAUUGAUUUAAAAGUAACAAUAAAGUGAGUCAUAAUUACCCAUAGGUAUGAUUGUUUUGACCUUUGAAAAUUUGUUAAUACAUAAUCAACAGCACACAAUCAGCAUUAGCAUUUAGUGCACAUAGUAAAUCAAUUAUACAACGUUGGAAUGUCACCAGCAAUUGUUCAAGUAAUUGUUCUCCUUGGAAUUCUCUCCAAUGCCCAGCAAACCGGGACAUUCCUCCUAGAGAUGUGGAAUUAGCAGUUAUUUUUACAACAACUAUAGCACUUUGCAUACUUACUUCGUAACUGCAAGCAAUCCAGAGGAUGUCUCCAGAAGGUUUCUAUACAAUAAAACAAUAGCUUUUUGAAGGUAAAUCACUUUUAAUUUAAUAUACUCACUUUCAGAUCUAGUCACUUAUUAUUGCUCUCUUCUGUCAACCCCCUACAAAAAUAACAUUUAACAUCUUUGAAUCAAUUCAUGAGCAUAGGAUCACCUGGUUUUUAGAGUACGAUGAGGUCGAGGGUUGCCGAGUCUUCCUUUAAAAGUUUUUAUCUCAGCAGCACUCAACCUGUCUUUGGUUGGUUUCCUUAGCAUUCAGUACCGUAGUAAAGGUCUAUCUGUGUAGAGUAGUGUAGUUGUUAAGUAGUGCUCCGCAUACUGUUCUAGUAAAUUCUGUAUCUUACCUCUUAAAAAAAGUGUCUUCAACUCUUCUUUGUGCAUCUGACAUGUUUGUAUAAGUGCCUCUAAAUGCAUGAUUAUAAAUAAUUAUAGAUAAUAAUAUUUAUUUAUAGACUGGGGAAUUAUUUUAGGGUGGGUAAUUUAGACUCACAAUACUGAGUAAUAAUUAUGAACUCACUGAGAAGGUUAAUAUGACUCUUGUAUACUGGGUUUAACUUACCCAUAUUCAGUUAACAUACGGGUUAUUUCGUUUAAAGUGGGUCAAAAUCGACAUAACCAUCCAUUGGAUCACCAUUUAACCCACUUUUGUGGAUAUGACCCGUGUGUGACCCACUGCUCAUGAGUUUAAAUGACCCACUAGUAUGUUACAAUGACCCACUAGUUUUUACAGUGUACCCUGGCUGAGAAUGCAUGGGAUUUCCCUAUAGUCUUACUGCACAACGUGUGACCGGAAGUGGGCGUAACUCCCAAAAAUGUUUGUACUGCGCGCUCGUUAAUUUGAAAUCCCCCUUUUCUUUUUCCUGGAUCUGCUACUAAGACAAGUUCAGUCGGUAGAGCAUCAGACUCUUAAUCUGAGGAUCAUGGGUUUGAGCCCCACAUUGGAUGAAUUUUUGUUCGCUGGUAUUGCCCAUUCUAUAAUUAUGUGCAUGUGCUGAACACCACGGGUGAUAAUGCAGCGCCAACGCCAAUGAAGCUAUACUGUACUAGCAGCCUAUUAUACACACAUGUAUACAGUUACAACAAGUGUUGCAAGCGUGCACUUGCUAAUGCCUCUCGCCAUGUUUUUGCUUUCGCUCAAAAGUAUUACUAGAGUGUUAUAGAAGAGAUAAGUAAUUUGCAAUGUGUUUUGAUUGUUUCACAAGAAAGUGCAUACUGAUCGUCUUAAAUUGCCUGCAGCCAAACAAUGGGAGAAAACCUUUGUCAAAGGCAUAGUCAGUAGUCUGUGAAAGACAGAAAUCAAUCACAGAAAGUAAUAAUAAUUAUUAUCUAUAACAAGCAGUCUAAAAAGAGUUAUCAGAAAAGGUUGGUUUGUGGCUUACCAGGACCUCAACAAAAAAGAAAUUGAUUCUGCCAGGAUCUGGCGUUCAAAAUGGAUUCUCUUACACGUGGUAUUGAGCGCAUGCACAUUACAUCCAGGAAGAAGGGGUGUGUCUGCAAGUUCCAUAAUGAUCACUAAAAAUAAUAGCUAGCUUCUUUAGCAGCUCUUUCUUACUCUUGUAUAGCUAACAAAAAGCUAGCGCUUUAGUGCAAGGCUAACUCGAAUAGAAAGUUUGUGCAAACAGAUGAUGCUAUGAAAGAUUCCUGAAGAGACUGCAACAGCCUUCAAUGUGAGUCAAACUAGCCAUAACUCGAGAAUGUUUGCUAAUCCACGAAUCAAAAUCCAUGAGAAUGUGACUAGAAGCCUAUUGUUUUUGUUGCAUUACAAGUAACCGUUAAGCAGUUGCAGCUGGAACAGACACACACACAGUCAGCUUUACCGUAUCCCUCGUGCGGCUACGCCUCGAGGCAUAAUUAUACACAUGCUGUGAAAAAAUAGUUGAGAAAUGAUUAAUUGUUGCUAAAAAGGAUGCUGAAAGUUUGAUGUCUAUAAUUAUAAUUAUUAAUGUCACUCAGCAAAUUCAAUAAUGACUCUUGCAGCUAUAAUUAUAUCUUGCAGCUAUAUCGAACGCUAUAGCGUUCUAAUGCAGAGCUAUAUAAUAAGAAGAUGUAAUUAUACUCAACGAAUUUUGCUACGCUAGAGUCUGCAGUCUGCAAUAAAAUUCAGUGAAUUUUAGGCGUGACAAAUCAGAGAAAAGCAGAACAGAAGAACGGCGUAGAUCAUUCAUAGCCCUCAAUGUAUUACUAAGCAAAACUAGUCGAAGCAUUAUUAAUUUUUGUAAAUCCACUGAAUAUGACUUAGUCUGUCUAGAAGCCUCUUAUUCUUAUACACUUAUUGAGCAGUUGUAUAUCACUCUACACAGACACACGCACAAACACACUACUGUAUACCUCGCUGCGUAUCCACACCUGAGGCAUAUAAUUAUAGCGUAGUAUUCGUUGUACUGAGUUAUGAUGCCUCUGUGUGCUUGCACAGCGAGGUAUAAUUAUACGCUGAUGUGUGAGUGUGUGUGUGUGUGUGUGUGUGUGUGUGUGAAAGGAAAACACAAAGUCCAAGGAAGUUAUCACACAUGCAAGCUAAUUUUGCAAGUUACCUUGCCUUGGUUUUUUAAAACGAAGUACCUGAUAGCUAUAUACUCUGUUACUAUAGGAGUAUAUGUCCUACCAUAUCCUUUGGGAAGUUUCUGCUACAUCUGACAUCGACAAGCAUUGAAUAGAGUCAGAGUUCACUUCUUCAUGUUCAUUCUCUUGUCAUGCUUUAAUCAUAAUUAUUAUUCAUGCAUUAGUUUAUAACAUUGUUGUCAAUAAAAUGUUCAUACUAUGUAUUAAAAUUAAAAUACAAUAAGAUUUGUCAUAGAGCGAAGUGUAAACCUCGAUUUGAGGCCGCGGGUGGGCGUAUAUUCGAAUGAAAACUCGCCGUUCGCGAUUAAACGCCCAGUUAGGACUCUAAUAAGCCUAGACUUCCUGCUGGGCGUAUUUUCUCGAGGAUACGGUAUAGCCUCCUUCACUGGCCUCCCCUGAAGACAAAAAAAAAACGAAACUGCAUGCCUUCAAUGUGAGUUUUUUUAUGUAGACUAGCCAGAGCAAAGCUUUAACGUUGCUUGAGGAGGCUUGUAGAAACUCUUGGUUUCAGAGUCUUCUUUAAAUGUGUUAAUAAUUAUAGCCUAGCUUGCUUAAUGCUUAGCACUAUUCUAAAUCAGUUAUAUGCCCUUAGUAUAACACCCUUGCUAUAAUAUGCUUGGGAUGCUACAGCCUCAGGCCUUCGGAUCUCAAAACCAGAGACCUUGGACUCAGCCAAUAUUUAUGACGUUGUAACGGAUUGGAGUUGCACUCGACGAAUUUCUUGUUUCUACGCUUUUCAUGCUUUUCCUGCCAAUCAUACGUUCACAAUGUUUCACAGAGCAAAAUUAGUUUUUUAGUUCGAUUCCCUUUCUUUCUUCAGUGCAGAAGUAUUAUACGUUUCGAAAAUGUGAAAAAAUGCCUAAGAGGAAUGUCAAGAAACAGAGAAAAGAAGACAGGACUGGAAUAAACACCCAUUAUAAUUAUGAUAAAAUAACAGCCAUGCAUGUUUACUGCAUGUGUAUAGAUGUACUUUGAAGAGCAUUGUUCAGGCCUUCAUACAGAAAAAAAUUGACAGGGGGGAGAAAAUCAACAUUUCAAAAAUGGGAGGCUCGGCGAUUAUCCGUAUCUUGGGGGAUCUGCGAAAUUGUUGUGUUUAGAGACUGUCGUACAUCGCAUCUUAAUUCAUUCUUAAGAGUUAUUAAGUAUUGUGGAAUGUCAUAAAAAAUGCAGAAAUCCAAUUGCCUAGGUUGAAUGGCACUAUAGAUAAAAGCCAUAGCCUGAGCGACACAAGCCUUUCUCACUAAAUGAAGGUCGCUGAAUCGCCCUCUGUACUUAUACAGAUAUAGUGACUUCGAAGAAGAAAUUGUGGAUGUAUGGAACAGAAAGAGUAUUAUAUAUAGAAGAAUAGCAGUUUAAUUAAAGUAGCUUCGUAGAGAACUCAUUAUUGUUGUUAUAAAACACUCUUUGUUUGG